CAGGGAAAAGCUCACAGUUGGAACCUAGCUGCCUUAGGUAGUUCGGAUUGUAAACUGAAAAAAGUGUUAUCCAGGCUAGCCGAGUAAAUAAGUUUCUUGGAAUAGAACAUCAUGGAGGGUGAGAAUCCCGUCUUUGGCUUGAGCAUAGUCUUUUGUGUUGCACUUUAACGAGUCAGGUUGUUUGGGAAUGCAGCCUAAAGUGGGAGGUAAAUCCCUCCUAAAGCUAAAUAUUGGCGAGAGACCGAUAGCAAACAAGUACCGUGAGGGAAAGAUGAAAAGAACUUUGAAAAGAGAGUUAAACAGUAUGUGAAAUUGCUAAAAGGGAAGCGUUUGAAGACAGACUAGCUUGGUUAUAAUCAGCCUGGAUUUUUCUUGGUGUACUUGUAGCCUAUGCUUGCCAACAGCAGUUUGGUCUGGCUGAAAAAACUAGUAGUAAGGUGGCUCUCUUCGGGGAGUGUUAUAGACUAUUAGAAAAUCAGUUGGACUGGACUGAGGAAUGCAAUGCAGCUUGCCUUGGGGUGAACCAGAUUGGAUAGGAACCAUUGUUCCUUGAAGGUUUGGGUAGCUCUUCGAACUGUAUUUAGGUUGUUGGCUUAAUGUCUUUAAACG
rnacentral:rRNA from 1 species